CACGUAGUUAGCCGUGACUUUCUGGCGGGGCACCAUCAGUCAGCACCCAUUUCCUGAUGCUGCCUUUUUUCCCCCGCAACAGAGCUUUACGACCCGAAGGCCUUCUUCACUCACGCGGCAUCGCUCGUUCAGGCUUGCGCCCAUUGACGAAAAUUCCCUACUGCUGCCUCCGCAGGAGUCUGGGCCGUGUCUCAGUCCCAAUGUGGCCGUCCGCCCUCUCAGGCCGGCUAUGCAUCAUCGUCUUGGUGGGCCUUUACCCCGCCAACCAACUAAUGCACCGCAGGUCCAUCCGCGCCCCAUCCCCUAAAGGAUGUUUCACAGAAAGAAGAUGCCUCCUUCCUGUACAUCGGGAUUUGUUCUCCGUUUCCAGAGCGUAUUCCCGGUGCACGGGCAGGUUCCCUAAGUGUUACUCGACCCCGUUCGCCACUACGAGACCCGGAAGGUCUCUCGUUCGACUUGACCUAUGUAUUACGGCAUCGCCGACCAGGCGUUUCA
rnacentral:rRNA from 1 species